ensembl:lncRNA
UCAUAAUUAACAAGACACCCACACAUGUAGAGCCAGGAGGUGCCCACUUCAACAUGAAAGGGACUCCUGUGAAGAACAAAAAUGUCUGGGACGUCAAGAAGCUCCUGGAGGUGAGCGAGCUGGAGCUGUAGGAGCGACUGACUGAAUUAAUGAGAGCGUCUUCUCUGUAUUCCGUUCUGUACUCAUUUGAAACUAUGAGAGGUGCUUCUACUUAAAAGGGAGGAAUAUUAUUGAUCACUUGUGUAUUGUGUUUCACUAUCCAUCUCUUCCUGUGACCUGCUCGGCAGAGAACCAGCAAAGAGAAAGAACAUCAUAAAGUAUUCAUGGUCAUACCUCAAAUGCGAAUGCUGAAGCCAUUGAGUGAUUUUAAUAGAUACAUUACUAUUCAAAAGUAUGAGCAUUUCUUUUAUUGUUUGUCAGUCACUGUAUUUACUUUAUUAAAAAUGAAAUAAAAACAGUAAUAUUCUGAAAUAUUAUUACAGAUGAAAUAGUUUCGAAUUAGUUUUGAAUUUUCAGCAGCCAUUACCCCAUUCGCAGGGUCACAUGAUCCUUCAGAAAUCAUUCUAAUAUUUUGAUCUGGUGCUCAAAAUACAAUAAUAAUAAUAAAAAAAUGGUUUGAAAAUAGAAAUCUUUUGUAACAUUAUUAAUGUCUUUACUGUCAUUUCUUAUCAAUUAUCUAAUGCAUCCUUGCUGAAAAAAAAAAUCAAUUUCUUUAUAAAAAGACACAUUGUAGUCCUUAUAUACCUUAUUUUGCUUGUAGAUAGAAAACCAAUUCAUAAAAGUGGGAAUUUAGGGUUCCUGAUUGGCCUUCAGAUUAAGGUCAAUAUUAAACAGCUGUGCUAUAAAUGGAGUAAAAAUGUCUUUUUGUCUUCCCCCUGCAGCAAUUUAGCACUGACAUUGCAGACAAUGCAUCCAAGGUGUGCUUGGCUCAUCUCUUCACCUAUCAGGAUUUUGAUGAAGGCACACUUGGCUUGGCUUAUGUGGCUCCUUCCAAACCAGGCUUUCCUGGAGGGCUUUGCUCUGAUAAGUGUCCACCUUCAGGAAAAGACAACCGUGCUAUAUACCUCAACACUGGACUAACCAGCACCAAAAAUUACGGGAAAACCAUUCUUACCAAGGCAA